GAAAUGCGAUAAGUAGUGUGAAUUGCAGAAUUCAGUGAAUCAUCGAAUCUUUGAACGCACAUUACGCCCCUUGGUAUUCCAUGGGGCAUGCCUGUUCGAGCGUCAUUUGUACCUUCAAGCUCUGCUUGGUGUUGGGUGUUUUGUCUCGCCUCUGCGUGUAGACUCGCCUUAAAACAAUUGGCAGCCGGCGUAUUGAUUUCGGAGCGCAGUACAUCUCGCGCUUUGCACUCAUAACGACGACGUCCAAAAGUACAUUUUUACACUCUUGACCUCGGAUCAGGUAGGGAUACCCGCUGAACUUAAGC
rnacentral:misc_RNA from 1 species